GAUGAACGCUAGCGGCAGGCUUAACACAUGCAAGUCGAGGGGCAGCACAGUGUAGCAAUACACGGGUGGCGACCGGCGCACGGGUGCGUAACGCGUAUCCAACCUUCCCGUUACUCAGGGAUAGCCUUCCGAAGGGGAGAUUAAUACCUGAUGGUGUUCAAAUUCCGCAUGUUAUUUGAACUAAAGAUUUAUCGGUAACGGAUGGGGAUGCGUGACAUUAGAUAGUAGGCGGGGUAACGGCUCACCUAGUCUACGAUGUCUAGGGGUUCUGAGAGGAAGGUCCCCCACACUGGAACUGAGACACGGUCCAGACUCCUACGGGAGGCAGCAGUGAGGAAUAUUGGUCAAUGGUCUGACGACUGAACCAGCCAUGCCGCGUGAAGGUCACGGCCCUAUGGGUCUUAAACUGCUUUUGUAUGGGAGCAAUAAGUUCUACGUGUAGAGCGAUGAGAGUACCAUACGAAUAAGCAUCGGCUAACUCCGUGCCAGCAG
rnacentral:rRNA from 1 species